rnacentral:rRNA from 1 species
GGGCAAAGUUGGCAUGUGAUACCUUUUCGGAAAGCCCAAAGAGAGCCCUCCGACGAAAGAAGCAAGACAAUGGAACUUUUCCAUUGACUUUUUAUCGACUCCAAAUUUUGACCUUUAAGUACUUUUUCGGGCAUUUUCGUGAUUUGUGCUAUAUUACGGACCCAAAAUUACUUUUUCAAGCAUUGUUUUCGAAUAUUUUUCAUGCAUCAAAGCUCGUUAAGACUAGAUGGGGUAUCCCUACAUGGCGGGUGGGACCCACGGCGAACGGUUCAUCAAGACUUAAAAAAAGAAUAUAUACGAUUGCAUUGCAUAUACUAACGGAUGCGAUCAUACCAGCACUAAUGCACCGGAUCCCAUCAGAACUCCGCAGGUAAGCGUGCUUGGGCGAGAGUAGUACUAGGAUGGGUGACCUCCCGGGAAGUCCUCGUGUUGCAUCCCUCUUUUAUGUUAACCUUUUUUUUUUUGGUUAAAACUUUAUGACUCCAUAACUUGUAAACCG